AGUGAACGCUGGCGGUAGGCCUAACACAUGCAAGUCGAACGGCAGCACAGUAAGAGCUUGCUCUUACGGGUGGCGAGUGGCGGACGGGUGAGGAAUACAUCGGAAUCUACUUUUUCGUGGGGGAUAACGUAGGGAAACUUACGCUAAUACCGCAUACGACCUACGGGUGAAAGCAGUGGAUCUUCGGACCUUGCGCGAUUGAAUGAGCCGAUGUCGGAUUAGCUAGUUGGCGGGGUAAAGGCCCACCAAGGGGACGAUCCGUAGCUGGUCUGAGAGGAUGGUCGGCCACACUGGAACUGGAACAGGGUCCAGGCUCCUACGGGAGGCAGCAGUGGGGAAUAUUGGGCAAUGGGCGCAAGCCUGAUCCAGCCAUACCGCGUGGGUGAAGAAGGCCCUCGGGUUGUAAAGCCCUUUUGUUGGGAAAGAAAAGCAGCAGGUUAAUACCCCGCUGUUCUGACGGUACCCAAAGAAUAAGCACCGGCUAACUUCGUG
rnacentral:rRNA from 1 species